rnacentral:rRNA from 1 species
UACUAGAGACCGGCGCACGGGUGCGUAACGCGUAUGCAAUCUACCUUUUGCAGAGGGAUAGCCCAGAGAAAUUUGGAUUAAUACCUCAUAGUAUAACGACUCGGCAUCGAGAUGUUAUUAAAGUCACAACGGCAAAAGAUGAGCAUGCGUCCCAUUAGUUAGUUGGUAAGGUAACGGCUUACCAAGACUACGAUGGGUAGGGGUCCUGAGAGGGAGAUCCCCCACACUGGUACUGAGACACGGACCAGACUCCUACGGGAGGCAGCAGUGAGGAAUAUUGGACAAUGGGCGCAAGCCUGAUCCAGCCAUGCCGCGUGCAGGAUGACGGUCCUAUGGAUUGUAAACUGCUUUUGCACAGGAAGAAACAACGCUACGUGUAGCGUCUUGACGGUACUGUGAGAAUAAGGAUCGGCUAACUCCGUGCCAGCAGCCGCGGUAAUACGGAGGAUCCAAGCGUUAUCCGGAAUCAUUGGGUUUAAAGGGUCCGUAGGCGGUCUUAUAAGUCAGUGGUGAAAUCUCCCCGCUCAACGGGGAAACGGCCAUUGAUACUGUAGGACUUGAAUUAUUAGGAAGUAACUAGAAUAUGUAGUGUAGCGGUGAAAUGCUUAGAGAUUACAUGGAAUACCAAUUGCGAAGGCAGGUUACUACUAAUGGAUUGACGCUGAUGGACGAAAGCGUGGGUAGCGAACAGGAUUAGAUACCCUGGUAGUCCACGCCGUAAACGAUGGAUACUAGCUGUUGGGCGCAAGUUCAGUGGCUAAGCGAAAGUGAUAAGUAUCCCACCUGGG